rnacentral:rRNA from 1 species
GUGUCAGCAGCCGCGGUAAUACGGAGGGUGCAAGCGUUGUUCGGAAUUAUUGGGCGUAAAGCGCGUGUAGGCGGUCAUGAAAGUCAGAUGUGAAAUCCUUCCGCUUAACGGGAGAAGUGCAUUUGAAACUCCAUGACUGGAGUACGGGAGAGGAGAGUGGAAUUCCCGGUGUAGAGGUGAAAUUCGUAGAUAUCGGGAGGAACACCAGUGGCGAAGGCGGCUCUCUGGCCUGAUACUGACGCUGAGACGCGAAAGCGUGGGGAGCAAACAGGAUUAGAAACCCCCGUAGUCC